AGUUGAGAGGUCAACAUCUUUAUCUGCAGGCCUCUAAGAGAAGACUAACUUCCAGGGAAUCGGGGAUUCAGUUCCUAGUUGCUGGAUAUGCCACAGGAUCCUACAAGCCAUUUUUAAAAUGGUGAUACAAAAGAAACCCUACUUUGGUAGGCGAAUGAGAUGGGUCUUGGUUUUCACGGGCUGGCGAUACUUUUCUGUAUUCAUUAUGCAUUUACAAAAGUGGCUGGGCAUGCGCAGGGGCAUUGCUUCUGAGGUGACUCUGAAUCUUGCCAAGUUGAUAAUCUUCAUGAUCAACGAGUAACCAUCGCUGGGGCCUGGAGCACUUUGAACUAACUUUUUCCUUUCGGAACGGCAUGCAUUAUGAAAGAGCAGAUUCCUGAUGCCAUCUCCAGAAAGCCAGCGGUGGGAUAAUGCAUUUUUAAUCCUGAACACCUGGCUUCCUUUUAUUUGUCUGCCAGGAGGAGGUUUCUUGAUUAUGUAAAAACAGUCUGUCUUACCAGUACUAAAAACCUGGACUAAAAAGGACCUGGGACCUUGGUGAGCUGUGCAGCGUUUCCAGAGCCUUCUUUGGCUACGAAGACAGGGCACACCCUGACGAUGGUGGAGUGAAGUAGAAGGAGGUGGAGCGAAUCGAGGUCGUUAGACUUGGCAACAAGUGCCUUUAGCCACUGAGCCACCUUGAGGGCCCUUGGGAGGACUUUUAAAGAGAUAACACAUCCCAGGAAGAUGGAGCAGCCCCCAGGAGAAGAAAACUACCCAGAAGUCUCAUGGAUCCUGCCAGCAGCAUAUGGAACUGUGGGAAGGCAAGGGACUGAUUUUCCCAGGCGUCGUGCACGCAUUUGCUCACACUUGUGCCCAGUUGGUAGUUUUAUUCUAAUGUGACAGAUGAGAAGAACUGGAGGUUGCUUCGGGAGCCCCCACUAUCCUCUUUUCCUUUGUCAUCUCUGUUCCCACCAGCAGUCCUCCCCACGACCGACACUAGUGUCUUAUCUGACAUUCGAAUUUUAUAAGCGCAUCCUGGCUUGAAGGCUUUUAAUGGCCUGUCAUUCUUGGAGAGCCAUCUUCUUCCUUUCAUGCCACCAUCUCCGACCCCCUCGUUUGUGAUCUGUGUCAGAAGACUCCUCGUGUCUGGAAUCUGUCAAGAUGUUUCAUAGCCUUACGCUCCCAGCACAGCGUUCCCUCUGCCGGGAACAGAUUAAAGACUCCCCACCCCCGACACAUACCCCAGCCCACAUUAUGAACCUUCCCCGUGCCAUAAAACGUGCCAGUAAUGUCAAAGAAAGGAACCGGAAGAGGAGAGGAGGCUGUAUUUAUGUGCCUCACCGAGUCUGCCUGCAACUAGAAAGAGAUUGGACAGGUUAGUAAUCAGGGCCAAGGUGCGGACAGAUCAACGGCUCUCCUAAUCACCCCCAGUGGCUGGUUAGAAAAUGGAGUGGGAGCCAGACUCUCAGUCAUAAGAGCCUCUGAAACGAUAAAACACCAGAAACAAGCUUUAAAACGUCUACGUCGCUAUUGUAAAACUUUCUGAAACAUGACUGAGAGGUGAGAACAAAGCCUCCCAAAUCCAUGAAGAUACACUCGACAUUUCUGCAUACAGAGCUCGAUUCAUGAGAUCGUGAGCCGGAGGCGCGCCUGCUUGAAGAUGUAUUAUGGUCUCAACCAUUUUCUCUGUGUCCUCUCGGGAAAAUUUUACCACGCUUCUAAGACUUAGCUUCCUUGUUUGCAGGCUGAGGGUAAAACUGUUAGGUAAGCUAGGUCUCAAAUGUGAGGAGAAGCCGCUGUGUUUAGCAUACGUACUCAGUCCGGGGUCAGACACAUAAUACCCAACAAGUUAUGUUUCUGUUCUUCAUUUCGGGUGUUGCCCAACAGAGGUGUUUUGGUUUUGGUUUUACCUGUGCUUUGAUGGUGCCGUCCCCUUUCAUGUGGUACCGUUUGGUUGUACACAGAUAACUGCAAUGACGUUACUUCUGUCCUAGUCACUGCCAAAGCUCUUAAAGCUCCCCUCCUCCACCCAGUGACCAACCUCUCCCAUUUUCUCAAAGGCAAUUGGAUUUUAACACUGUAGGUCACUUUUGUCAGGGUUUGGAUUUUUAUUGCUUGCUUCUGGCUUUACAUUAAAAAAAAGAAUCUUUCUUUGUGUUUGUGUGUAGAAUGGUGUGAAUUGUGUAUGUGUGAGUAUGUGUAUGAGUGUGUGUUGUAUUUGUGUAUGUCUGUGAUGUGUGUGUGUGAGUGUGGUAUGUGUACGUGUGUGAUGUGUGGGUGUAUGUGAUGUGUGUGUGUUUGUACAUGUGUGUUGUGUGAUGUGUGUGUGAGUGUGUGAUGUAUGUGUGAUGUGUGUGUGUUUGUGUAUAGAAUGAUAUGUGUAUUUGUGUAUGUGUGAUGUGAUGUGUGUGUAUGAGUGUGAUGUGUGUGUGUUUGUAUAUGUGUGAGUGUGUGAUAUGUGUAUGAGUGUGUUGUGUGUGUUUGUGUAUGCGUGUGUGAUGUGUGGGUGGAUGUGAUGUGUAUGUGUUUGUGCAUGUGUGUUGUGUGUGUGGUGUGAUGUGUGUGUGAGUGUAUGAUGUAUGUGUGAUGUAUGUGUGUUUGUGUAUAGAAUGAUGUUUGUGUUUUUGUAUGUAUGUGUGUAUGAGUGUGUGUUGUGUGUGUUUGUGUAUGUGAUGUGUGUGUGUGUGGUAUGCGUAUGUGAGUGAAUGAGUGUGUGAGUAUGUGUGUUUGUGUGUAGAAUGAUGUGUGUGUUUUUGUAUGUAUGUGUGAUGCGAUGUGUGUGUAUGAGUGUGAUGUGUAUGUGUUUGUGUAUGUGAUGUGUGUGUGUAUGGAGACAUUAUUCCCACCACUAGGGUGUGUUAGUCAGAGUCUAAUUUGGUUGAGGUGGUUCGCUCCUUCUCUUUACUUGUGGCAAGUGCCUUUAGCUGCCGAGCCAUCUCACCACCCAGCUUCUGGCUGCUUUUCCUAA
rnacentral:lncRNA from 1 species